rnacentral:rRNA from 1 species
UACUCCCGCCGGCGACCGGCGCACGGGUGAGUAACACGUAUGAAACCUGCCCGUAGCAGGGGGAUAAGCGGAAGAAAUUCCGUCUAAUACCGCGUAACAACCCGAGGAGGCAUCUCCUCGGGUUUAAAGGAAGCGAUUCCGGCUACGGAUGGUCAUGCGUCGCAUUAGCUAGUUGGCGGGGUAACGGCCCACCAAGGCGACGAUGCGUAGGGGUUCUGAGAGGAAGGUCCCCCACCACUGGUACUGAGACACGGACCAGACUCCUACGGAAGGCAGCAG